rnacentral:misc_RNA from 1 species
UUUUUACAUACAUUAAACCAAUGUAAAUUCGCCAGAUGUUUUAAGUUCUGUCGGUAAUAAUUUUAACAUUAACCAAAUGACAUUGGAUCAACGUUGGUUUUGCAUUGGAAAAAAGAGCCAACGUUUGCAAUGGCUUUACAUGCGUUGGCCCAAUUUAAAAUUUGGAAUGAUGAAUUGGUCAAUUGAAGAAGUUUGUUUGCAUUUAGAGCAGAAAGGUUUUGGUGAUUUAAAAAUGAAGAAACUGAUGGAAAAGCAUUGUUGAGUUUAAUGGAAACAAUGGUUUCAAAUUUGUGUGUAACAAUGCGAAAGCAAGUUAUGUUGUUGGAAAUAAUAAAGAAUCUUCAAGCACCGCCUGCACAACAAGUUACCUCUAUUGCCACAUUCUCUGCCUAUUGUUGAGGAUGAUUUAACUGUAGCAAAACAUCAUCAGGGUAUGUUAAUGGAAUAUCGUAGACUUCGUCCAGACAUGAAUAUGCUAAUUAAUCGCCAAAAACGUAGUUGGUUUGUCCGAGCAAAGGAUUUUGAUGGUCGAUUUUGUACAGUCGAUCUAAAAGCUAAAUACCCAUGGCUCUGCUCUGCUGAAUUGCUUCUUAGUGAAAUGAAACUAAGAUUUGGCAAAGAUCUAGAUAAAGAGCUUCAUCAACGGAUGAAGGGUAUGGAAGAUAAAAUCUUAACCUUGAUAAAAUUAAAGUGUAAAGACGGUUUUAUUUUUGAAAUAUUUGCUGAAAUUGAGCGUGAAAUUGAUGAAAGCACUAAAAAAGGUAAUAAAAUUUAAGUACUGUCAACUCUCGAUUUCUCGAACCUCCUCGGGACCAAGAAGUUAGUUAGAGAUAGCAAAUGUUUAAGUUAUCGAGAGUAUAAUCCAUAAAUUAGGGUUCAACAGGAUUCAAAAAAAGUUUGAGGUACUCAAAAGUUCGAAAUAUCGAGUAUUCGAGAUAUCGAGAGUUCAUUGUAUUACAAAAAGUUUCUGCUUUUCAUAGCUAAAUAAUUUUAAUGUUUUUUUU